CCUACGGGAGGCAGCAGUGAGGAAUAUUGGUCAAUGGACGAGAGUCUGAACCAGCCAAGUCGCGUGAAGGAUGACUGCCCUAUGGGUUGUAAACUUCUUUUAUAUGGGAAUAAAAUGUUCCACGUGUGGGAUUUUGUAUGUACCAUAUGAAUAAGGAUCGGCUAACUCCGUGCCAGCAGCCGCGGUAAUACGUAGGGUACGAGCGUUAUCCGGAUUUAUUGGGUUUAAAGGGAGCGUAGGUGGAGUGUUAAGUCAGUUGUGAAAGGUUGGGGCGCAACCGUAAAAUUGCAGUUGAAACGGGCAGUCUUGAGUACAGUAGAGGUGGGCGGAAUUCGUGGUGUAGCGGUGAAAUGCUUAGAUAUCACGAAGAACUCCGAUUGCGAAGGCAGCUCACUGGACUGCAACUGACACUGAGGCUCGAAAGUGUGGGUAUCAAACAGGAUUAGAUACCCUGGUAGUC
rnacentral:rRNA from 1 species